rnacentral:lncRNA from 1 species
AGAUGCAGCCCAGAGAGAUGAGCAUGUAACACACAGCAAGAAUGCAGCCACCAGGCAAGCCAAGGAGAGAGCCUUCAGAAGAAACCAACCCUGCCGACACCUUGACCUCAGACUUCCAGCCUCUAAAACGAUUGAAGACAAUGCUGAUCAUACUAUCAACCAUGAAGGACUGUGCUGAGGAUUGAAUGAGAAUACAUUCAGGCCACGGAACACAGUGUGUAUAUAUUACACAUGCUCCAAAAAGGCUAGCUGCUACUAUGAAGUUGGAUAAAUUGACUCAGGAAAGGGCAGAAUGAACUUGAUAUUGUGACUGUACAUUUCAGAGAGGCCCCAAAGAGCAAAUAUUCAGAUCACAGCAUUCACUCCCGGAAUAAGCAUAUUCGAAAACCCUUUCUUUGUCAAGCACGAUACGUGGAGGGAGACUCAUUCUGUUUCAGAAAGCUGAGAGUUAAGUGGCCAAGAUAACCCCAAAAGACAAUCCUAAUAGAUGUGGUGGACACAACAGCAGAAAUAUGGCCACAGGUGUCACAUUUCCAGAGAGAGGCUGAUGAUUGC